CCUAUAGGUGCAUGUAUACUAUACAAUGCUAUUGAACACCUAUAGGUGCAUGUAUACUAUACAAUGCUAUUGAACACCUAUAGGUGCAUGUAUACUAUACAAUGCUAUUGAACACCUAUAGGUGCAUGUAUACUGUACAAUGCUAUUGAACACCUAUAGGUGCAUGUAUACUGUACAAUGCUAUUGAACACCUCUUCAGGGAUGACAUCAUUCAUCUCCGUGCUCUUUAGGAAUGACAUCAUUUAUAUGUAGACUAAAGAGCAGUUCAUUGUCUUACUUCAGCUGGCGUGAUGGCCGUCUGCACUGAGCUGUCUGAGAACUCGUAAACACUCAUGGGACAGCUUAAAAAGAAGUCUGGCUGUCCUAACAUUCCAUAUGCUGUCCUAACAUUCCAUAUGCUGUCCAAACAUUCCAUAUGCUUUUCAAACAUUCCAUAUGCUGUCCUAACAUUCCAUAUGCUGUCCUAACAUUCCAUAUGCUGUCCUAACAUUCCAUAUGCUGUCCUAACAUUCCAUAUGCUAUCAGGUGUUAUAGACUAGAGACCAGGUGUUAUAGACUAGAGAGCAGGUGUUAUAGACUGUAGAGCAGGUGUUAU
ensembl:lncRNA